rnacentral:rRNA from 1 species
UACGUAGGAGGCGAGCGUUGUCCGGAAUCACUGGGCGUAAAGCGCGUGUAGGCGGGCAGGCAAGUCUGCUGUGAAAGCGCCUGGCUUAACCGGGCGAGGUCGGCGGAAACUGCUUACCUGGAGGACGGUAGAGGGGGGUGGAAUUCCGGGUGUAGCGGUGGAAUGCGUAGAGAUCCGGAAGAACACCGGUGGCGAAGGCGGCCUGCUGGGCAGUAGCUGACGCUGAUGCGCGACAGCGUGGGGAGCAAACAGG